UACGUAGGGGGCUAGCGUUGUCCGGAAUCAUUGGGCGUAAAGAGCGUGUAGGCGGUCCGGUAAGUCCGCUGUGAAAGUCGGGGGCUCAACCCUCGAAUGCCGGUGGAUACUGUCGGGCUAGAGUGCGGAAGAGGCGAGUGGAAUCCUGGUGUAGGCGGUGAAAUGACGCAGAUAUCAGGAGGAACACCAAUUGCGAAGGCAGCUCGCUGGGACGUAACUGACGCUGAGACGCGAAAGCGUGGGGAGCAAACAGG
rnacentral:rRNA from 1 species